GGGAGGGGAGGCUUCCCCGAACCCUUUCGAGGCUUCAGCCCUCUGACACCUGUGUGCACCCGCUGUAGGUCCUUAGGGACCUAUGUCUUCUUCCAACUCGCAUGUCUACAGAACGUCGUCCGUGACCUCGGUCACAGGAAACCUAAUACAACUUUCAGCAAUGGAUCUCUUGGCUCUCGCAUCGAUGAAGGACGCAGCGAAUCGCGAUAAGUAAUGUGAAUUGCAGAUUUUCCGUGAAUCAUCGAAUCUUUGAACGCACCUUGCGCUCCUUGGUAUUCCGAGGAGCAUGCCUGUUUGAGUGUCAUCGAAACAUCAGAUCGAAGCUUUCGACCUCGUCGGAGCUCGGUUUGGACUUGUGGGAGUCUGCGGGCGAACCUCCCGUCGGGGGGGGACGUCGGCUCUCCUCAAAAGCAUUAGUGUUGGGUGCGAGCCUCGCGUGGCACGGCCUCUUCGACGUCAUAAUGACCGUCGUGGGCUGGAAGUGCGUGGAUCGUAGAUGCCCGUCGCUCUCCAACUCUGCGAGCCCGGUCCGUCCGGCCGCGUGUUAUCGAAGCUUGACCUCAAAUCAGGUAGGACUACCCGCUGAACUUAAGCAUAUCAAUAAGCGGAGGA
rnacentral:rRNA from 1 species